rnacentral:lncRNA from 1 species
CGCAGUCUAGGGCAGCCUGGUUGCAAGUGUCCUUGGGAGAAACAGGCAUGGAGGGCUGGGCAGACAUAUAUGCAAUACAUACACAGCAGUGUGUGCCCAUGGAGGGGAACCCGUGACCCCUGGCUUAGGACAACCUGCUGAGGUAGAAAGGACCUUGCCCAGGGAGUUGAGAUUGCUUCUCACUGUGGGAUCUUGGAUAACUCACCUCGCCUUCCGAGGCCUCAGUUUCCCGAUCUGUAAAAUGGCGUGAGGGUAAUUACUGUCCUGUUUGCCCCCACGAGGCUAUUGUGGAGAUGAAAUGAGAUAAUGAAAUAGAAGGGCUGAGAAAAAACUGUAGACUGCGGUGCAGCCGUGAAGCACUAUAUGGUGAUACUAAGCACCACUUCCGCAGGCUUUAGCCCCUGUCUCUGCCUCAAGUGUCUGUCACAGAGGGGAUGGGGUGGGCCAGCCUCUCCCAGCCCCUCUCUGGGCCCCCCUUGCCUACUACCCCCCCCUUUUGGAGCUGGGACAUUCCAGUCCCAUUCCUUAGGGGCAGCUGCAGACACGCCCCUUAGCAGAGCUGAUCCCCC